AGUGAUAGAAUAAGAACGUAAGAUUAGAUAAAGCAGAGCAGCAGCAACUAACAACCACGGUUACCAUAACUAACUAAACAAUGCUGACCAUCGGAGUAGCACCACCUUCAUCUCCCCGCUUAUCAAUGGCGCCUGUACUUCAACCACCGUGCAUGUUAGCAUCCACCAGAGCUUCAUUUCUAUCGCCAUUCGUAGGGUUAGGGUUUCAAAUUCCGAAAUUCACCUCAAUUAUUUCUCCCAAAAUCCAACGCCUUUCCAUUAAAGCUUCCAGAACUGAAUCCACGGGAGUUUCCUUAGGGUUUCGAGCUCCUGAUUUUCAGCUUCCGGAGCCAUUAACGGGGAAGACAUGGACAUUGCAAGAUUUCGAAGCUUAUCCGGCAUUAUUGGUUAUGUUUAUCUGCAAUCAUUGCCCAUUUGUCAUACAUUUGAAAAAGGAUAUUGUGAAGCUUUCAAAAUUUUACAUGAAGAAGGGACUUGCUGUUGUUGCAAUAUCUUCCAACUCUGUUGUUACUCAUCCACAGGAUGGACCAGAAUUUAUGGCAGAAGAAGCCAAAUUCUAUAGUUAUCCAUUUCCUUAUUUAUAUGACAAGUCUCAAGAUGUUGCACAUGAUUUUGGAGCAGUUUGCACACCGGAGUUUUUCUUGUUUAAAAAGGAGGGACGGAGGCCAUUUGAGCUUGUGUACCAUGGACAGUUUGAUGACUCCAGACCAAGCAAUAAUGUGCCCAUUACUGGGAGGGACUUGAGUAUGGCAAUUGACUCUGUUCUCAGCGGUCAACCUGUUAGUGUUCAUCAAAAACCCAGUGUUGGAUGUAGCAUUAAGUGGCACCCCAAGGUGAAGCAAUAAUUUGACCGGCCUUUAACUCUCUAAGUCUUGGAGAUGAUAGAUUACAACCAACUUUUUCUUUCAGAUCAUUUAUAUCAACAACAGGCAGCAGGACUACGCAAAGUUGAUGUUUAUCACAUGGAGGUGCCUGGGAUGAUGUAUGACCUGUGGGUAAAAUGAUAUGGAUGUGAUCGGUAUGAGAUACUGACUCGAUGGGCAUAUCUGUAAAGAUGUUAGCUAAAUGACAUUGUCACUUGAUUUAAUGAUUGUGAUGCCAUCAUACAUUUUAUUCACAUGUACUCUCAACCAUAUGAGAAUAGUAUUGACUAAGUAGUGUAGUUAUUUAGGAUAUUAAUGGCUCUCAUCACAAGUUUGCAUGUUAGUUCAUGUUGCUAACUUGUUUAAUUUUCGGUCACUUAUACCGAACUGUGGUCUAUUUGGGUUCCAUGAGUCUAGAAUGGUAUACAGUACAGUUUGCCCUUGUUUAGAAUAUGUGGAUAUUGUAAACAAAUCUAUUUAGUACUUACUACUUAUAUUGAUCAGAGUGCAACUAACGUGUGGUUUAGAGAUAUGGGAAUUUUGAAAUGCUCUGUUUUGUUUUUUAAGGAGAACAAGGAAUAAGAAAAAAUGGAAGUAUAUUUAAACAUGAAUAAUAAUUAUUAAUACAAGUACCAUCUGUAAGUCUGUAACUGAAUCAAUGAUAUUAUGCAUAUUAGGAAUCUUUGUAACUCUGACUUAUACAAGUAUGUUGAUUUUAUUGUCUUUCAUUGUAUAGGUAUUCUAUAUACCAAUAUUCUCUAUUGUGUAAAUAUUUCAUACAGUAUUACAAGAGUGGGAAGACCUCCCGUAGGCCAUAGCCAAGGAAAAAAAAAAUUGUUAAUGGCUUAGCUUAGACCGGUUUUCUCUAUAUACUCUCAGUGAUGAAAUCUUCUGUUUGUAAUU